UACGAAGGGGGCUAGCGUUGCUCGGAAUCAUUGGGCGUAAAGCGCACGUAGGCGGAUUGCUAAGUCAGGGGUGAAAUCCUGGAGCUCAACUCCAGAACUGCCUUUGAUACUGGCGAUCUCGAGUCCGGGAGAGGUGAGUGGAACUGCGAGUGUAGAGGUGAAAUUCGUAGAUAUUCGCAAGAACACCAGUGGCGAAGGCGGCUCACUGGCCCGGUACUGACGCUCAUGCACGAAAGCGUGGGGAGCAAACAGG
rnacentral:rRNA from 1 species